GCCGAUCGACCGGUAUCUUUACUCGGAGUAUUCUCGCAUGAAAAAGAAGCAAUUUUUUUCGAGAUAAAAUCGGCGAAACUCGAGGGAAAGGAUCGAAAUCGCAAAAGGGCAGGAGGGAUCGGUGGAGAUCGAGGAUGGGUUUCGAUCGUUACCUGGGAUUUGGUUCUGGUUGUUGUACUGGCUCAUCUUCGAUCGGGAAACGUUGACUGAGAUCUAGCUCACGAACAAGUCUGCGCUUGGAGAGCGAGAGAGAGAAAGAUGAUACAGAUGGUAGAGAGAGAAAGCGAGAGAGAGACGAUAGGAUGGAGAGAGAGUGCAGGUAUGGUGCGAGAUUUAUAGAAGAACGGAGGAGGAAGACGACGCGUUGGAGGAGG